rnacentral:sRNA from 1 species
UUUUUAAAGCAUAUGUGUAAUUUCCUAGUGUUUCUGAAUCUAGUAUUAGAAAUUAAGAAAGAAAGAUGAAAAAGAUGGGCUGGAGAAUGGAAACUAGUAAAAAUAAAAUUUAAUUGUUUUUCUUUGGAAUAACUUUAUAGACAUGAGUUGUGAAAUCACCAGCAAAGAGUUGCUCUUCCCUCCUAAUUAUAGCUUAUAUGAAAACAAUGGAAGUAAAAUAUUUUAAUGAUAAAAUAAUUUCAGUACUGGUUAAGCAAUAUAUAUUAGUCAUCAGAUUAUGGAAUUUUGAAAUAUUUUAAUGAUCUUAUUAACAAGCCAUAGGAUACUUGAAGAUAUCAUAUUUGAACAUAUUCUAGAACUACAUUUCUCUUGGGCUUCAAUUACAGCAUUUAGAAAUGAAAUCUGGGAGACUCUUCUGUAUUGUAGUAGAUUAUUUGUAACCCUCUUUCCAUAAUAUCCAAUUUAAUACUAAAAAAAAUCUUCUAGUGUACAAUGAUAAUGUAAUGAAUGUAUCAUACAUAAAACUUGUAUUCUCUAGGUUGAUGUUAUAGCCUACCUUCUCUUUCACCACUGAUGUAUUUGCCAUAUAAAUCAGUUACUUACUUCAUUUUAGUACUCAGAUAAUUAUUAUUACACUCUGUCUCCACCACUGGAGUAAGCUGUCUUCAAGGUCUAGGGCCUUGUCCUGUUUAUAUUUUCAACACCUAACAUUGUAUAGCCUCCUUUUUUCUUAAUAUAUGAAAGAAAUUGAUUGUCUUCACAAGCAGUUUAUAUUAGAAGCUUUGUACUAGUAAAUAGCCCAUAGGGAUGAAAGAAUAUGAAAUUAAAGUCUUUUGCACUUGUUUAAGCUCAAUUUAUUUUGGUUCUGAAGUUGUGUACUUUUUAGACUCUAGAUCUCGUUAGAGCAUUACAAGAUCUAGAAAAUGCAGCCUCAGGUGAUGCAGCAGUUCAUCAGAGGAUAGCUUCUUUACCUGUUGAAGUCCAAGAAGUAUCUCUGUUAGAUAAAAUAACAGAUAAAGAAUCUGGAGAAAGGCUUUCCAAAAUGGUAGAGGAUGCGUGUAUGUUGCUGGCAGAUUACAAUGGCAGAUUGGCGGCAGAAAUAGAUGAUAGAAAGCAACUCACUCGAAUGUUAGCAGAUUUUCUUCGUUGUCAAAAGGAAGCCCUUGCAGAGAAAGAGCAUAAAUUGGAAGUGCGUAACCUUUUUCUUCUUUAGUGCUUAUUUAUUUAAUUCUCUUUUUGUUAGGAAUUUUUAAAUAUUUUAAUCUAUGUGCACAUUUUGCAUUUUUUAACAUAGACCUUUUUAAACAGUAGCCCAGGUAAGCUUCUCCUUGUAUUAAUGGUUUUUCUUCUACUUGAACCAAAUUAACCUUGCAAGUAAACUUAGAAAUUUGGAAUUAGCAAAAUUGAUUGCAUUUAAAAAUUAUUCUUGUGAAAUUCCAUGCAACUGUAAUUUAUCUUACCAGUUUAACCCUAAUCUAUCACAGAAAUAAUAGGAAAAUAGCAGGUGGCAGUAACUUGUAGUAGGAUUUAUUUAGUUUCUGUUUUGAGAAGAUGUAGUCUUUUAGGUAUACCAUUAAGUCUUUAAAUUACUCCCUUAAUUCCACCCGCCAAUUCUAAUGCUUACAUGUUCCCAGCACCACUCCCGGCUCACAUCCUUAGGUAGAAAUUCAUUGCUCCUGUAAAUUAAGUAAUAAUUAAUACCACUAAUGAGAAAUCUGGGAGUGCAGGAGGUGAUUUAAAAAAAUGCUCAUAUUUCCUUUGAUUAGAGUAGCAAUUGUUAGGGAUACAUGAGCCAGAUUUGGUUUUAUGUAAAAAAAUCUUUCAGUUGAUGAGUUCUUGUUUAAAUUGUAUUGCUGUGGCAAUUUCUUAUUGUAAUAAUAUGUAGGAGAAUUUCUAAUUUGAAUCCCUUUAUUUACAGAAAGCUCACUGUAAAUUUGUAGGAAUGUCAUGGUAGUAUCCCAUUAAGUUAUUUUUAUUAGUGUUUAGUUAUUGAUUCAGCAGUCUCUAAUUGGGCCAAAAAUGGUGCUUAGAUUAGAUUGCCAUUGCUACCCAUGGGAGCUGCUACUUAAUUAUUCCCACCUCAAAUUCCCAGCUCUUAAGUUAGCACUACCCCUUUUCAAUUUACUCCUUCUCUGCUCGUAUAAAUACCCUCAGAUGAUGAUUGUUGGCGGGCACUAUGCUCUACCUUUGAAGAGGUUGCCCACUUCUACAUGGAAAGGAAAAGAUGGUUUUUUUUUUUUUUUUAGAUGAAUUUGAUAAUUAACUUGCCAGUAUUUCACCUUGUGAUGAAACCUCAAUCUUAAACAUAGUGUUACUUGUUUUAUUGUCCACAGAAUUAAGGGUAAGUAAUGUCAUACAAUUUUUGUCUUUAGUCUUUUAGUAUGGUUUCUUUAACUUCUAUUGAGCUUCUGUUGCAGAUAUUGGACAUGGGCGUAUCUUCUAACGAUGUCGUCACCAUUAGUAUAUUCUUCCUGCUAAAAAUAAAUAUCAAACCCUG